ACUGCAACUGCAAGAAAUGAAAAAAGUCAAGUAAAAAAACUGUGUCACAGGAGAGUUGAACAGUCUCCCAGGUUCUGGUCCUGUGAUUAACACAUUUCUCCACAACUAUUCCCUAGCUAGAUUUGGAAUUUGGACUUAUUUGUACUACAUAUAAAGCGUUUUUAAUAGUACUCUGUAUGUGACAUGACAAGCAUGGACUGCCUGACCGAUACUAGUAGAUGAAUGCUUCACAGAGUGUGUCUUGGCAAGAAAAGCCAAGUGUGGUGUGUCUAUUAGCUAGCUAGCUAGCUGACCUGCUAGCUAUGCACUGCUAGCUAAAAAGACCAUGCCAGGGAUUUUGUCUAUUUGCGUUCAUCCUUCACCGUCAACCCACUUACUUUUCACAUUUAAUCUAUUAGAGGGAGCACGUAGCACUUCACUCAAUCUACAGAUUGAAUGUGUUAUUGUGUGUGGACAUUUAGUGAAAGAAGUCCUUUGCUUCAGUAAUAGAGGCUAUAAUGCUGAAAAAUCACGUAAUGGUAAACAUGUUACUAAAAUAAAUGUUAGAGCAAUUCAGUGCUAAAUGUAAAAGUACUUAUAGUAAUGAGUGGAUUUUAGUUUCACUGGAAGCUGAAAACCUUGUAUCCCUAGUUUUGGAUAUAUACGACACAUACGUUUUUUUACUUAAAAUUUAAAAAAUGUCCAAUUUUUACCUGUUAACACAUACUAUUUUGUCACUCCCUGGUAUUCUUAUCUCCAAUGUGAGGAUUUACCUGGUCAGAUCAGUUGAAGCAGUACAUGCUCCUUAUAGGUUGAGAACAUUCUCCAACAACUGAGUCAAACCCAAAAUCAUUAUAAAACUGUACUUGAGUGAUGACUGAUAUAAGAAAUAGCUCACAUUCGGAACCAUGGAACCACGUACACAGAUAUCUCAAUUGUAGAACAUGACAGCAUAAUGAUAUUCCAGAACCCAUGUAAAACAUGAAGCUUGGCUGUGUACCAGUCUCUUAUUUACUUUUUACAAGUGGACGAGAAGAAGAGUUUGAACUUCAAACUAAAUCGGCCUCUCGACGAAUCCAACUGAGAUCUUAAGUAAUAUAGGUAAGCUGCUGUUUGUUGCUCCCUAAUGUAGAGUGUGUGAGAUGUCUAAGGUGAAGCAUUGUUAAUGCUCAGUUUGACUGCUGUUUAUACAUGUGUGUAAUGUAAUUUACACUGAAUCUAUAUGUGUGUGUCAAAUACAAAUGUAGCUUACAUUUAUAUACUUGAACAUGAAGUCCCAGUAGCUGGUGGGGAUGCCCUCAGUAUGGAUCAGAUCUCAGACGCACAGCUCCACACUGAAUUGUUUAACGUGAGAUGAUCCUAACCCUAAGCUCAGUGACAGCAGGAAGGUGGAUUUCAACAGGUUAAGAAACAGUUCACAAUGGAAUUGGAUAGUUUAUCAUCCAGUUCAUCUGACUAUAAGCUGGAGUCAUUUCUGGGCCAAGGUGGCUUUGGAGCUGUGAUCAAAUGCAUCAAAAAGGAGACCAACGAGACUAUUGCUGUAAAGGUCUCUCACUACAGCUGCAGCUUCAGAAAGGAAUUGAAUCUACUGAAUUUCCUCAUGUAGAAGAACCUGGACAACUACAACAUUGUUGUAGAUGCUGGAUGUGACUGAGGGAAUACAUGUUCAUCGACAGGGACUUUACCCCUCUGGAUUUAAAGGAAGUCAGGAGUGUAGUCCAACAACACUGCCGUUAGCUAGUUAGCUUGUGCAGCUAACGUUAGCUGUCUUAGGUCAGUCUGCAUUCAGUCCUGUUCUUGCUGUGCUGUUCUCUGUCCACUAUAGCUGCUUGACUAGGGGGACAUAACAACACACAGCGCUUUUGGCUGCCGUGACAAGUCCCUCCCUAGCUGCCUGUCACAGGAAAUACAUAAAAAAGCGGAAACAAAUAGACUCUGACUACCAUUUCAUCUGAACUUUAAUUUUAGCGACGACAGCUGAGGCAUUUGGGCUUUCGAUUUUCAGAUGGCACAUAUCCCGGAAGGAAGAAGAGGAAGGAGAAGAAGAAUUGCUUCAAUCACUUCUUCUGCUGGAUGAAGAGGACAGUCUGCAGCUGCAUCAGUGCCAACAAUGACAAGGGCUAAAUCGCCCUGUAUAGGUUUUCUAGCACAACACAGGAAAUACAGAGUAUGCACUUGUUGUCCCCUGGUCACCGGGUGGAGGUCAGGUGCAGAGAAAUGGCUGUUGUGCUGUAAAACUUUCAUAGUUAUUUAGGGCAGCAUGGUGGCUCCGUGUAUACCUGUCUUUUAAUGCUAGGAAUUAUUCUCAUGUAGAUAAAGGAUUUCAGUGUAACAACGGUAAUGUUUUACACAUUUUUCAUUUUCUUAUCCCGUCCUAAGAAAUUUUCUGGAAAGAGCUUUUUGAUACUAAGUACAGGUAACACACAGACAGUGUCAUAUUGGUACUCUUCCAAUCAAAUUAAAAAUGUAUUUUCUUAUUUUAUGUGAUAUGACAUACAGAUCUGCAUAAUAAAAUAAAAAUAAAAUGA